AGGUUAAGUGAAUAAGGGCGCACGGUGGAUGCCUUGGCACUAGGAGCCGAUGAAGGACGGGACUAACACCGAUAUGCUUUGGGGAGCUGUACGUAAGCUAUGAUCCAGAGAUUUCCGAAUGGGGGAACCCAACAUCUUUAAUAGGAUGUUACGAUUGUGUGAAUACAUAGCACAUUCGAGGUAGACGCAGAGAACUGAAACAUCUAAGUACCUGCAGGAAGAGAAAGAAAAUUCGAUUCCCUGAGUAGCGGCGAGCGAAACGGGAAAAGCCCAAACCAGCAAGCUUGCUUGUUGGGGUUGUAGGACUCCAAUAUGGUAGUUCUUUCAGAUAGUCGAAUGACUUGGAAAAGUCAGUCAAAGAGGGUAAAAACCCCGUAGACGAAAUGUGGAAGACACCUAGGAGGAUCCUGAGUACGGCGGAACACGAGAAAUUCCGUCGGAAUCCGGGAGGACCAUCUCCCAAGGCUAAAUACUCCCUAGUGACCGAUAGUGAACCAGUACCGUGAGGGAAAGGUGAAAAGCACCCCGGAAGGGGAGUGAAAUAGAACCUGAAACCGUGUGCCUACAACAAGUCAAAGCCCGUUAAUGGGUGAUGGCGUGCCUUUUGUAGAAUGAACCGGCGAGUUACGAUUGCAUGCGAGGUUAAGUUGAAGAGACGGAGCCGCAGCGAAAGCGAGUCUGAAUAGGGCGUUUGAGUAUGUAGUCGUAGACCCGAAACCAUGUGAUCUACCCAUGUCCAGGUUGAAGGUGCGGUAAAACGCACUGGAGGACCGAACCCACGUACGUUGAAAAGUGCGGGGAUGAGGUGUGGGUAGCGGAGAAAUUCCAAACGAACUUGGAGAUAGCUGGUUCUCUCCGAAAUAGCUUUAGGGCUAGCCUCGGAAUUGAGAAUGAUGGAGGUAGAGCACUGUUUGGACUAGGGGCCCAUCUCGGGUUACCGAAUUCAGAUAAACUCCGAAUGCCAUUCAUUCAUAUCCGGGAGUCAGACUGUGAGUGAUAAGAUCCAUAGUCGAAAGGGAAACAGCCCAGACCACCAGCUAAGGUCCCAAAAUAUAUGUUAAGUGGAAAAGGAUGUGGGGUUGCACAGACAACUAGGAUGUUGGCUUAGAAGCAGCCACCAUUUAAAGAGUGCGUAAUAGCUCACUAGUCGAGUGACCCUGCGCCGAAAAUGUACCGGGGCUAAACAUAUUACCGAAGCUGUGGAGUACACCUUUAGGUGUAUUGGUAGGAGAGCGUUCUAAGGGCGUUGAAGGCAGAUCGUGAGGACUGCUGGAGCGCUUAGAAGUGAGAAUGCCGGUAUGAGUAGCGAAAGACAGGUGAGAAUCCUGUCCACCGAAUGACUAAGGUUUCCUGGGGAAGGCUCGUCCGCCCAGGGUUAGUCGGGACCUAAGCCGAGGCCGACAGGCGUAGGCGAUGGAUAACAGGUUGAUAUUCCUGUACCCGUUGUUUUUGUUUGAGCAAUGGAGGGACGCAGGAGGCUAAGGAAUGCAGACGAUCGGAAAUGUCUGUCCAAGCAGUAAGUCUGAAGAGGAGUCAAAUGCUUCUUUUCUUAAGGAUAAGCUGUGAUGGGGAGGGAAAUAAUAGUACCGAAGUUCCUGAUGUCACACUGCCGAGAAAAGCUUCUAGUGAGAAAACAGCGGCCCGUACCGCAAACCGACACAGGUAGUCGAGGAGAGAAUCCUAAGGUGAGCGAGAGAACUCUCGUUAAGGAACUCGGCAAAAUGACCCCGUAACUUCGGGAGAAGGGGUGCUGAUCGUAUGAUCAGCCGCAGUGAAUAGGCCCAAGCGACUGUUUAUCAAAAACACAGGUCUCUGCAAAAUCGUAAGAUGAAGUAUAGGGGCUGACGCCUGCCCGGUGCUGGAAGGUUAAGAGGAGUGCUUAGCGCAAGCGAAGGUACGAAUUGAAGCCCCAGUAAACGGCGGCCGUAACUAUAACGGUCCUAAGGUAGCGAAAUUCCUUGUCGGGUAAGUUCCGACCCGCACGAAAGGCGUAACGAUUUGGGCACUGUCUCAACGAGAGACUCGGUGAAAUUUUAGUACCUGUGAAGAUGCAGGUUACCCGCGACAGGACGGAAAGACCCCAUGGAGCUUUACUGUAGUUUGAUAUUGAGUGUCUGUACCGCAUGUACAGGAUAGGUAGGAGCCGUAGAAAUCGGAACGCUAGUUUCGAUGGAGGCGCUGGUGGGAUACUACCCCUGCGUUAUGGCCACUCUAACCCGCACCACU
rnacentral:rRNA from 1 species